AGAACGAACGCUGGCGGCAUGCCUAACACAUGCAAGUCGAACGCUCUUGGGGCUUCGGUUCCAAGGGAGUGGCGCACGGGUGAGUAGCGCGUGGGAACCUGCCCUGGAGUGGGGGAUAACCGAGGGAAACUUCGGCUAAUACCGCAUACGCCGGGAAACCGGGAAAGAUUUAUCGCUCUAGGAGGGGCCCGCGUCGGAUUAGGUAGUUGGUGGGGUAACGGCCUACCAAGCCUUUGAUCCGUAGCUGGUCUGAGAGGAUGAUCAGCCACACUGGGACUGAGACACGGCCCAGACUCCUACGGGAGGCAGCAGUGGGGAAUAUUGGACAAUGGGCGCAAGCCUGAUCCAGCAAUGCCGCGUGAGUGAUGAAGGCCUUCGGGUUGUAAAGCUCUUUCGCCCGCGACGAUGAUGACGGUAGCGGGAGAAGAAGCCCGGCUAACUUCGCGCCAGCAGCCGC
rnacentral:rRNA from 1 species